UGAAUAUUUAAUUUUUGUGUUGUCUUGUCUUCUUUACGAUCCAAAGGAAAUGAGGAUUCAGUCUGUUUGUAAUGAUGAACAUGUUUCUGACUGUUCUGCUUUUCUUUAACAGGGAGUCUUAUCUCUGAAGAACUGCAUUCUGGGUAUGAAGAUGCUGAUGAGCUUCUCUCAGAAGAGAUGGUGAAGGAAAUCACACCGGGAUACUAUGAUGAUGUCAUCACUGAUGGACUGAAACCAAAUCGUGAGACAGAAGACACACCUGAG